rnacentral:rRNA from 1 species
UAGGGAAUCUUCCGCAAUGGACGCAAGUCUGACGGAGCAACGCCGCGUGAGUGAAGAAGGAUUUCGGUUCGUAAAACUCUGUUGCUAGAGAAGAACAGCGCAUAGAGUAACUGUUAUGCGUGUGACGGUAUCUAACCAGAAAGCCACGGCUAACUACGUGCCAGCAGCCGCGGUAAUACGUAGGUGGCAAGCGUUGUCCGGAUUUAUUGGGCGUAAAGCGAGCGCAGGCGGUCAAUUAAGUCUGAUGUGAAAGCCCCCGGCUCAACCGGGGAGGGUCAUUGGAAACUGGUUGACUUGAGUGCAGAAGAGGAGAGUGGAAUUCCAUGUGUAGCGGUGAAAUGCGUAGAUAUAUGGAGGAACACCAGUGGCGAAGGCGACUCUCUGGUCUGUAACUGACGCGGAGGCUCGAAAGCGUGGGUAGCAAACAGG